rnacentral:lncRNA from 1 species
AAUAUGCGUCUAUCAAAUUCCCCCACACUUAGCUAUUGCUAGUCCUCGAGCAAAAUAAAACAAAUAAAACAUAAAAAAAAAAACAAAACGAAACCAAACAAACAAAAACAACCUAAACCUUCCAACGUUUGCCUUAGGGAUUUCCAAUGCACAUGACAUGUUAAAGAUUAUCAUUCCCACAGAAUUGAGUCAAUUUAACACUUAAGCACAUACUUAAUCAUAGUCACUACUUACUAAUUCACAAUUAACCAAUUAAAACAAUGUUUUGAAUAUAGUAACAUGCCUUAGAGAAUUUCCUCAAUCCUUACAAGAUAUGCACUCUAUUUUCACUCAGAUUUUCUAACUACACACCCUAUACUAGUUAUAUGU